rnacentral:rRNA from 1 species
UACGAAGGGGACUAGCGUUGUUCGGAAUCACUGGGCGUAAAGCGCACGUAGGCGGAUCUUUAAGUCAGAGGUGAAAUCCCAAGGCUCAACCUUGGAACUGCCUUUUGAUACUGGAGAUCUUGAGUCCGGGAGAGGUGAGUGGAACUGCGAGUGUAGAGGUGAAAUUCGUAGAUAUUCGCAAGAACACCAGUGGCGAAGGCGGCUCCACUGGCCCGGUACUGACGCUGAGGUGCGAAAGCGUGGGGAGCAAACAGG